rnacentral:rRNA from 1 species
CGUAGGACAUUAGUCGUUGAACAAACGAACCUUUAGCAGCGGCUUCACUGCCGGGGUGUCCUGAUCCAACAUCGAGGUCGUAAGCCCCCCUGGCGAUAAGGACUCUUAAGGGGGAUGGCGCUGUUAUCCCUGGGGUAACUUGGUCCGAGUGUCAGUUUUACUGGAUCUUUAUCUUGGUAUUUGGCUUGUGGGCCGUGUAGUCAGGGUAUAAGCCUGAUUUAACAUGGAGGUUGUGUUUUACUCCGUAGUCGCCCCAACUUAAAGUUUAGGCUAUGAGUGGUUGUUUGGUUAGGCCUUGAGUAGGCUUAAUAUUUUAAUUAGCUGUAGGCUUAAAGCUCCACAGGGUCUUUUUGUCUUGUGGUUAUAUCUCAGCUUUUGUACUGAGAGAUCAAUUUCAUUGAUUGGAUGCAGGAGACAGUUGGGCUUUCAGGUGGCCAUUCAUACUGGUCUUUAUUUAGAAGACAAGUGAUUACGCUACCUUUGCACGGUUAUAAUACCGCGGCCGUUAAAC